AGGAGAGGGAUGGGAAGGCGGGAAAAGAAGCAUGGGGAGGGCGGGAAAAAAAUAAUCCACCUCCCCAGGCCUUUUGUUUAACCUGCGUCGAUGCAAAGAGGGGUCUUGGGGUUUUUUUCCUCCCCUUGUCCUUUUUUUCGCCCUGUGCUUGAGCCCCAUGGGGCAUUUUCGAGCCUGACGGGGCAACUUUCCGGAGCGGGCGGUGUCGGAGGUUGAUUUUUUGGGAGGCGGAGGGCUCGUCCCGCAGGCGCGCGGCUCCGAGUGCAGGAAUUCCUGCCAGCUCGCCUUUGUGCCAGCCUCCGUUGGCCUUGGGUGUCUCGUUCGGAUGGAGCCUGGCAUCCAGGCACCGCCCAUUUCUUGGCAUUGAGCUGCGAGAAGGAAAGGGGAGAGAGCGAGCGAGAGAAGGGAAAAAAAAAAGCUGUCUCACUCAAACUGGCCUUUCUCGGAAAAGGAUCCUUCCCCGAUGAUUGUCCGGAUAAACGAAGCUAAAUCCAGCCACUACUCAACAACAAAACCACUCUCUUCCACGGUGCGUCUCUCUUGCUGCCUUGUGAUUCUGCAUUUCCUUCGGUAGCCUGGAUGUCUUGGCGUUAGUAGCCACGUUGCUUUGUUCGUGGACACUCCGAGGAGCAGAUCCCUGCCCUGUGGCACGGGGGGGGAUCAGGCUCUGAUAAGGUGUUGGAAUGAUCGUCCUGCCGUUCCUUGAGUGGCUUUCCAGACAUGUGGAGAGAAGCAGACACUUCCAGAGCGGAGCUGGGAAGGAGAGCAGAAAGAGGUGAAAUGGCUUUCCUUGCACAGAAAGGACCUGCGGAGCAGCCAGUGCCUGGAUAAGGCUCAUCCCAGUUCCUGGAUAAGGAUCAUCUCAGUGCCUGGAUAAGGCUCAUCCCAGUGCCUGGAUAAGGAUCAUCCCAGUGCCUGGAUAAGGCUCAUCCCAGUGCCUUAGGCUGACACGGUCCAAGCUGUCCUUGAGGCUGAGGUAGUAGAUUGAAUAGUUGUGGAGUCCGGUCCUCCCUCUGAGCUAACUAUACAAUCUACUGUCUUUCCUAAGGAGACAGUCACAUCUUCAGGUCUGCUCAUCCACUUCUGCACAGGUGUGGGGGCAGGUGGUGCAAGCAAAGCCAAUCCCUGCCCGUGAUCCGUCAGUUCUGCUCUGUGGAGGUGAGGUAGUAGGUUGUAUAGUUUGGUGGGAGGGAUUUGAUCCCAUUUCAGGUGAUAACUAUACAGUCUAUUGCCUUCCUUAAAGAGCAGCAAAACCACCGGAGGAGCUCCCGAGGCAUGGCUUCUUUUGUUGAGGAUCCAAAAACCCAGCGUGGCAUUGUUAAACAACUCAGUGGGUGUUUCUCUUACAGCAUCCAGACUUGCAUUCUUCCAGGAAUUGCUUCAUGCCUCGGGGGCUGGAGCAUGGAGCCACCUGCUUCCAGGGAGCCCAACUCUCUUUAAGGUGCAAGAGAACCAUGGAAAUGAGUUUGCACAGCAGCUCCCAGUGUUCAAUUCUAUUCUUUUUUUUACAGGAGGUUGGCUCAAGUUGCAAAGUGUUUCUGUUGAUCUUUUCUGGUCUGUAUUCAUAUCUGGAGGGGAGCAGAUUCUUCGGUAUAAAUGGGACAGAUCUGAGCUCAUGAUUUAAUUUUGUUGUGCCCAUUUCUGAAGUUUGGGUUCAGAACCAGACCCAAGGGCAAGCUUAGCCUGUGGACUCAGAGCCCUGGGAGCUGGUCAGAUUUGGCUGUUUGGCCCCUGCUCAAGAAGUGCAUUUUGUUUUGGACAAGUUCCCAGCCUGUCCCGUGGAACAGAGUCAGAGGGUGGUUCUUUCUGAUCUGAUAAUCACUUACCAACUGAACUCACUCACAUGCAAACCCUGACAGGGAAGUUCAGGGCUCCUGGGUAUUUGUAUAGGAUGAGCCAAUGAUUCAGACUAAAAUCUUGGGUGUUUACAUAGGAUGAGCCAAUGAUUCCACUGAAGUGGAGACAGGUAGGGAAGAGACAUGAGCCAAAGGGAGCUGAUCCUAACUCUUGUGGGUUCUCCCAGGCACUGUCACCUGACAGCAGACAUGUGAGAAGUCGUCAUGCUUCAGAGCUCUGGCCCAUGGCAAGGGACAGGGAAUUAUUAAUUCUCUUUCUUAGGGGCAGAUGGGACUAUCCCUCUGCCGUUUUCCAGAGUAAGUAGGAUCAAGAGCAGGAGUGGAGCUGUAACACGAUCAGGGCUGUGUCAGGAAGGACAUUUCAGGCCAUUAUCACGACCAUCUUACUGCCAGGGAGACGUGUGAGAUCCGAGACACCGAGGAGCGAGGGCAAGCAGGGGACACCUUCUCAGAUGAAGUGGGAGGGAAAGAGCAAAGAGAAAUUGGAGCCCUCAAAUUCCACCCUGAGCAAAAGCACAGGGAGAGCCAGCCCUGGCUGCCGGGGAGUCCCCAGAAUGAAGCAGCUCAUUUCAGCCCCUCUGCUGGGACAGGGCGUAGCUGGGACACAGCUGGUGGGUGGGGAUGCUGCAGUUCCAAGCGGAGAAGGAAUGCAGCCCUCUCUCCAUAAAUCUGGCUUUUCAGCAGUCCUGGCGACUUGCUGUGCAAAGCUCAGCUUGGUCCUCUGAGCUGCAUUAUUAUCCUCCAGCUGCUUGCUCAGGGGCAGGGCUCCUGCCCACAGAUUGCUUGGAAGGUACCAAAAUAGCACCACAAGCAUGGGAACAGGACGGCAAAUCCACUUCAUCUGGAGAGGUGUCCCCUGGAAAAGGGCUGAUCCCACACGUCCCAGAUGGAAUCUGUUCAGUCUCCCUCCAUAGCAUUGAUACUAACACAGAAUCUCAAACAGUGGAACUGUGUGAGCUGGAAGCCAUGAAUAAAAUAUUACUGGAGAUACUCCCUUGUGAAAAUAAACUUGGUUUGACUUUUUU